GAACACAGUGCUGGGUAGAAACCUGCCUCCCUACCUAGCCAGCAGCUUCAGCUUGGGCUGUUUUCCAUGACAACCUUCUGAAAAAUGUUUUUCUUUAGAAGAAAGAGGUUGCCUUUCCCCCUCUUUUUCAGAAGGGAAAGAAUUUCCUUUAAAAGCAAAAGCAAGAAACAGAAAAUUGGAAAAUUUUUCAUAAAGUUUAGCUUUUGUCAAGACCGCAUUUUCCUUUGAGAAGUGAAGAGAGGAAACAAGGGAGAAGCCUCUAACUCAUGUCAGGUCUUUUUGAUCUGGAGUGGACCCAGUCUCCCAAAUCAGAGCUUUGAAAGAUGACAGCGCCCUUUCCAUGGAGAUGUUGGAUGCUGGGAUGGGGGGUGUGAGAGCAAGGAGCCCACAUUCCACCCACAAGCCUGAGAGGGAAGCACAGCACUGCCAGAAACAAGAAGCAGGGAACUAAUUUCACACUCAGGCAAGUCCCUGAUAAAGGAAGAAU